UAGGCACAUAGGAAUGCCGAACAGAUAAUAUAAUUGGUAGUGUAAAUCUGGGUGGGUAGGCAGUUGGAUUUCCUUCAGUCAGUUCUUCCUAGCCACUGUCUUUGAAGCUGUUAUCCUUCUGAGCCAAGCCUGGUCUCAGGUUCCAAGCACACAUUAGUGCCACGAUAAGAAACUUGCUGUGGAAAGGUUGUCACUGUUCCCACAGCCAAACCGGCUGUCAAGUUUCCUCAUUUGUUCCAGUGCGAAGUCAAUGGCUUUCCAGGAUAAUUUUGAACAGCCCAAGCUACUUUGCAUGAAAUGCAUAAAGAAAGCUCACGUGUCUUUCAUCAGCUCAGCUCUGGACAUAUUAUCUUUUACUAAAUUUGUGAUCACAGACAUCUGGUGACUGGUAACUGUUCUUGCAGCUGGGAUAAAAUUCUCCUGUGGGAAAAACCAUUCGAAGAAAAAAAAAAAGACUUUGAAGAACAAGGGUGACUAUGAAAAAAGGAGAAGACAGAAGUAUAUAUGGUGAAAAAUGGGAGAAAAGAAGCAGAGAAUUGACUGUGUGAAAGAGACACCCUGGAAAAGCAGCAGAGAAAAGGGAAAGAAAAAAAAUUCCCAUUUUUCUAAGUAUGUCUCUUUAGGACUGAGACUUUGCCAAACCUUGGGCUUGGAGGCCUUUCUGUCCUUAAUACAUUGCACAUGAUUGUCUGUAGCUACAAAAACAUUUUUUGUGGUUUUUAAAAAAUUGAAUUAUCCUUAUGUGAAAUAAAACAAACUAUGAGUUUAAAUGACAGAGUAAAAAGAGACCAAAUUCAUUUUGUAAGCCCUCAGAGAGUUUAAAAAUCCCUUAGGUUCACAAAAACUCAAACUCCAUAAAGUUUAUAUAUUCCCAGAAUAGGAUGUACAGUGGAGUUACUUCCAUCUACUUUAUUUAAGUUUUCAUCAGACUUAUUCUAUUAAUAUUUAGCUAACUGAUUCUUCUCUCAAGAGACAUUUGUAUUAAUGGCAAGAUCCAAAACACAACAAUGACACUUCCUUGUGCAAUCUAGAUAGAAGUUAGGUAA